rnacentral:rRNA from 1 species
AGUGAACGCUGGCGGUAGGCCUAACACAUGCAAGUCGAACGGCAGCACAGUAAGAGCUUGCUCUUACGGGUGGCGAGUGGCGGACGGGUGAGGAAUACAUCGGAAUCUACUUUUUCGUGGGGGAUAACGUAGGGAAACUUACGCUAAUACCGCAUACGACCUACGGGUGAAAGCAGGGGAUCUUCGGACCUUGCGCGAUUGAAUGAGCCGAUGUCGGAUUAGCUAGUUGGCGGGGUAAAGGCCCACCAAGGCGACGAUCCGUAGCUGGUCUGAGAGGAUGGGCAGCCCCCCGGGACUGGGACCGCGGCCCGGCCUCCUCUGGGAGGCGGGGGAGGGGAUUGUGGGACUGUGGACGGGGUCAGGACCCGACCCAGCCGCGCGGGGUGAGGGACCCUUGCGGUAUGAGUGCUAUUUUGUUGGUAAAGAAGAGCAACCGUUUAUACCCGUGAGUUGCUGAGGGUACAGAAAGAAUAAGCACCGGCUAACUCCGUG